GCCCGCUCAGAAACUUAAAGGAAUUGACGGGGCCCGCACCAAGCAGCGGAGCGUGUGGUUUAAUUCGAUGAUACGCGAAGAACCUCACCCAGGUUUGACAUGCACGUGGUACUGAUCCGAAAGGUGAUGGACCCUUCGGGGAGCAUGCACAGGUGUUGCACGGCCGUCGUCAGCUCGUGCCGUGAGGUGUUGGGUUAAGUCCCGCAACGAGCGCAACCCCUGUCGCCAGUUGUAUUUUUCUGGCGAGACUGCCGAGAAAACCUCGGAGGAAGGAGGGGACGAUGUCAGGUCAGCGUGGCCCUUACGCCUGGGGCUACACACACGCUACAAUGGGCAGUACAACGGGUCGCGAAGCCGCGAGGUGGAGCCAAUCCCAUCAAAGCUGUCCUCAGUUCGGAUUGCAGGCUGAAACCCGCCUGCAUGAAGCCGGAGUUGCUAGUAACCGCAGGUCAGCAUUACUGCGGUGAAUACGUUCCCGGGCCUU
rnacentral:rRNA from 1 species